rnacentral:rRNA from 1 species
AGCAGCCGCGGUAAUUCCAGCUCCAAUAGCGUAUAUUAAAGUUGUUGCAGUUAAAAAGCCCGUAGUUGAAUUUCGGGAUCAGUACGCUGGUCGUGCCUUUGGUAUGCACUGGUGUCACUGGUUUCUCCCUUCUGAAGAACUGUCAUGCCAUUCAGUUGGUGUGGCGGGGAAUCAGGACUGUUACUUUGAAAAAAUUAGAGUGUUUAAAGCAGGCUCGCGCUUGAAUACAUUAGCAUGGAAUAAUGAAAUAGGACGUUUGACCCUAUUUUGUUGGUUUCUAGGAUCGACGUAAUGAUUAAUAGGGAUAGUUGGGGGCAUUAGUAUUCAAUUGUCAGAGGUGAAAUUCUUGGAUUUAUUGAAGACUAACUACUGCGAAAGCAUUUGCCAAGGAUGUUUUCAUUAAUCAAGAACGAAAGUUAGGGGAUCGAAGACGAUCAGAUACCGUCGUAGUCUUAACCAUAAACUAUGCCGACUAGGGAUCGGAUGAUGUUAAUUUUUAAUGACUCAUUC